CUUGAUCCACUGAGUCUUCGGAAACCUGAGGAAGAUCAAGCUCGGGGAUUGACCAAUCCGAUACAGCAGCCAAAGCAACAAGACCUAUGCAGUCCCUCUCCAUCUCCUUCAAACGAGCAAGUUCAGCAUCCACAUUUAUGGUCCCAUCCUUGAGCUCGUUUAGAAGGUCGAUGUUGGCAACCACCUCUUGCAACUAGAUCUCAGCUGACGCCUCCUUCUUCUUGUUCGCCCAUUUAUCCUUCAAAGACUCUAGGAUCUCUC
rnacentral:lncRNA from 1 species